GCCUGGUUAGCUUAGUUGGUAGCGCGUCUGCCUUGUAAGCGCUAGGCCGCGGGUUCGAUUCCCGCCCGGGGCG
rfam:Asian citrus Psyllid, Diaphorina citri - Florida Strain, whole genome shotgun sequence.